GACGAACGCUGGCGGCGUGCCUAAUACAUGCAAGUUGAGCGCUGAAGGUUGGUACUUGUACCAACUGGAUGAGCAGCGAACGGGUGAGUAACGCGUGGGGAAUCUGCCUUUGAGCGGGGGACAACAUUUGGAAACGAAUGCUAAUACCGCAUAAAAACUUUAAACACAAGUUUUAAGUUUGAAAGAUGCAAUUGCAUCACUCAAAGAUGAUCCCGCGUUGUAUUAGCUAGUUGGUGAGGUAAAGGCUCACCAAGGCGAUGAUACAUAGCCGACCUGAGAGGGUGAUCGGCCACAUUGGGACUGAGACACGGCCCAAACUCCUACGGGAGGCAGCAGUAGGGAAUCUUCGGCAAUGGACGAAAGUCUGACCGAGCAACGCCGCGUGAGUGAAGAAGGGUGUCGGAUCGUAAAACUCUGUUGGUAGAGAAGAACGUUGGUGAGAGUGGAAAGCUCAUCAAGUGACGGUAACUACCCAGAAAGGGACGGCUAACUACGUG
rnacentral:rRNA from 1 species